rnacentral:rRNA from 1 species
UACAGAGGGUGCAAGCGUUAUUCGGAAUUAUUGGGCAUAAAGCGCAUGUAGGUGGUUUGAUAAGUCUGAUGUGAAAUCCCCGGACUCAAUUCGGGAAGUGCAUUGGAUACUGUCAGGCUAGAGUAUGGGAGAGGUGAGCGGAAUUCCAGGUGUAGAGGUGAAAUUCGUAGAUAUCUGGAGGAACAACAGUGGCGAAGGCGGCUCACUGGACCAUUACUGACACUGAGAUGCGAAAGCGUGGGGAGCAAACAGG